AGUGAACGCUGGCGGUAGGCCUAACACAUGCAAGUCGAACGGCAGCACAGUAAGAGCUUGCCCUUACGGGUGGCGAGUGGCGGACGGGUGAGGAAUACAUCGGAAUCUACUUUUUCGUGGGGGAUAACGUAGGGAAACUUACGCUAAUACCGCAUAUGACCUGCGGGUGAUAGCACAGGAUCUUCAGACCUUGCGCGAUUGAAUGAGACGAUGUCGGAUUAGCUAGUUGGCGGGGUAAAGGCCCACCAAGGCGACGAUCCGUAGCUGGUCUGAGAGGAUGAUCAGCCACACUGGAACUGAGACACGGUCCAGACUCCUACGGGAGGCAGCAGUGGGGAAUAUUGGACAAUGGGCGCAAGCCUGAUCCAGCCAUACCGCGUGAGUGAAGAAGGUCUUCGGAUUGUAAAGCCCUUUUGUUAGGAAAGAAAAGCAGCAGGUUAAUACCCCGCUGUUCUGACGGUACCCAAAGAAUAAGCACCGGCUAACUUCGUG
rnacentral:rRNA from 1 species